AAAUACAACAGACCAGCACCUAAUAACGAGAGUAAACUUGAGAAGGACAUCUGUACCUCUCCUUUGAUGGAAAAGACUUCAGCCUGGAAUUCAGAAGGAGAACUAGGAGAAGACUUCCCAGAACAGGAAAUUGGAGAUGAUGGUUCUCUGAGAAUGGUUCACUUUGGUUUGGUGUAACAAAGAAAAAAAAUCUUUCACUGGAUGACUAUAAUUUUAUUCCUAAAUGUGCCCAAAUUAACCCAUGCAUAACAUGUAUACCUACUUCCAUUUUCAGUAGGUUUCUCCCAUAUAUCAAUCAUCAGCCACUACUUCUAGAAAUCCCUUACCUUAUCAAAUGACUUCACUUCUAGAUGACCUGCUGUUUCUAAACGCCGCGGAUACUGUACCUGUGAUCUGUUUGAGAAACACUGUAAAGAGGAAAGGCCACGGAUUGUAUGUACUUAAAGCAAUCACUAAGGCCAUUAUUGAGUAAGUUGUCUGUACUGAAUACUGAUCUAAUCACCCAAAGAAUAUGGGAUGAAGCAAGUGGCUGCAUAUAUAGCUUCACAUUUAUUAGUCAAAAAAAAAAAAAGAAACAAAACAACAAAUUUAUUUUAACCACAGAUUAAGUAAAAAUGUUAUGCUAUUCAUCAGCUGUGAUUCAGUGUCAUAUUGUAUUAUCUACAAUUAUCUAAAAUUUGGCAGGGAAAAUGAGGGGGUGUCCAUCAAUUGGGGAAUGGCUGAACAAAUUGUGGUAUCUGCUGGUGAUGGAAUACUA